UUCUCUAAAUUUUUCAAAUCAAACUUAUAAUAAUUUUUAUUUAGUUUACUGGUCUUUGAGAUGAAUGAAUUGAUAAUGCUAAAGUAGUGCCGGUUCCAGUCUGGCGUUAUUUUAGGGUUUUCUUUUCACUGUUGUAAGAGAUUGGAAUAAGGGACCAUUUCUUUUUUAAAUUUUGCUCUGCCCCAUCAAAUUUUUCUCUGCUCUAUCGCUGUAUCUAAACUAUAUUUUUGAGCACAACUCUCUAUCUUAUCUAAACUAUUUUUCCUAAUAAUCUCAUGUCAAAGCGAUAGAGCUCUUUCAAAUAUAAAAUUCCCCCUGGAUGGACAGCCAGCACUGAGGGGGAGGGACAUACUUCUUGACGUCUAAUCGGAAUGAUGGGAUGGGCCGUAGUCCAGCAUAUUCAGCCUAGUGUCAGUGAUAGUGAGAACUAUGAUCGUGUACGCAGCGCGUGUUAUUUGUGAAUUUAGUCGGUCUGUGUUAGAUGUCCUGCUACUAAAAAGUAUUUCCAGGUUCUGUCGAUCCUGAUGACGCGUUAAAUGGGAUUCCCCAGGGACCGUCCGUAGUCCCUGAGGGACCAGGGGCGUCCUUCCGCUCCCGCGGUGUGACGACACUGCUUUUUACGCCGUGUGGCAGGAAUCGCCAGUGAAAGCGUGUGGAAUGGAGUAUGCAGAUGAAGAUGAAAUGUAGAAGGACCAUUUCUAAAGCAUAAUUAUAACGGUCGCGUCGGUUCGUGGUUCUGGAGCUGUUCUAAGGCUUUUCACAGCAUUUUAAGGUCACACUUUUUAUUUGCGUUCAUACUUUCUUUGAUUCGAAUCAUAUAUAA